UGCCAGCCGCCGCGGUAAUACGGAAGGUGCAAGCGUUAAUCGGAAUUACUGGGCGUAAAGCGCGCGUAGGCGGCUUUUUAAGUCAGAUGUGAAAGUCCACGGCUCAACCGUGGAAGUGCAUUUGAAACUGGGAGGCUUGAGUAUUGGAGGGGGUGGUGGAAUUCCCGGUGUAGAGGUGAAAUUCGUAGAUAUCGGGAGGAAUACCAGUGGCGAAGGCGGCUAACUGGACCGGAACUGACGCUGAUGCACGAAAGCGUGGGUAGCAAACAGGAUUAGAUA
rnacentral:rRNA from 1 species